AUGGACAAUGUGCCGCAAGUAGCCCAAGAAGCCACUGCCAUGACGGGCAGCGCCGGUAACAUUGUGGAUGUAGAGCUCGACGUUGCCCUCGCAGUCGCGGGUGAGGCCAACGACUUGCUUCAUCCAAGCAUGGACAUGGUGGUCACGUUGGUGAGCCUCGGUAAGGUGGAGGAGCAGGCCAUUCAUGCUCCCCAUCUCAUCCUUGAUGAACUGCACAUCACCGUGGAGGCUGCCGAGCAGCUGCGCCUCGUCGGCAAGGAUGGUGGUGAGGCGGCCAAGGAGAGUGUCGAGGGCGCCCUGGGCAUCCAUCUUGCUUGA
rnacentral:rRNA from 1 species